GGCGCAAAUAGAAGAAAGUUUGGGGGACAUCAUGAUGUAAGAGUCCUAAGAUCAUUGGACUCUUAUCUCCUACCUAAAAUCAAACUCUCUUCCUAUUUAAACAUGGGAUAAGAGAAGGGCAGUAACAACCUGAUGGUGAUCAGCUUUGGACACAAAAAAGAUAAGGCAUGUGUUAAAAAAAAAAGAGAGAAGAAAGGCACGGCAUGAGGCUUCAUGGUGUGAGUUUUAGUUGCAUCUAUCCCUUCUUUCUUACCAACAACCAAAGGUUAAUUGUUAGAGACUCUUCUCUCUCUUUUUUGUCCAAGUUUGGACAUAGAUUUUUCUCUCCUCUUUUGUCCAAGAGUUGGACAUGAAUUCUCUAGAUCUCUAGCGUAGACAUUUUGUCCAUAAAUUUUAAGAAGAAAGAGAAGAAAGUAUUCUUCUCAUGAUCUCUAGCGUAAAGAUCAUCAUCCUUCUAUUCUCUUCUUCUUCUUGAAAAGAGUCUUGAAAGAAAUGAAGAGUUUUUCAACUAUCAAAAUACGAUCUCUGCAAGGGAGCUAGCACCCCGAUGAGAUUAAGAAACUUCUGAUCAGAUCGAAGUCUCGUGUAGAUACCCAUAAAGAUCGGACACUUAUACGAUUUCAAGAAACAUUCAGAUGACAUCCACGAUCAUCAGUUCGUGGUGUAGAUUGACCCGCGCCAAGAUAUGAAGAUUAGAUCUUCUCUAUUUAUUUUUUUUUAUUUGAUUUCUACAUCUGAAUCCUAUCUCACAUAUGUAGAUCUUAUUUAUGAUUUUAAGAUUUGAUCUUAUGCAUGCUUAGAUUAAAUUAGAUUUAAUCUGAAUUUUUAAAAUUUUUACUGCGUACUCGUUUUAAAAUUUUUGUAUACAUGAAUCUAUAAAAUUACAACAAUAAUAUACCAUAGGAUGUCAUAAUAUAAAAAAAUAUUUUCUUUCCAACCACUUUUUAAUGCACAUUUAAUGCCUGCAGUUUUACUUUUUCAUUUAAAAAUUCUAAAUGAUGAAAAUACUCCUG
rnacentral:lncRNA from 1 species